GGCGCCAUAGCCAAGUGGUAAGGCACAGCUCUGCAAAAGCUUUAUCCCCAGUUCAAAUCUGGGUGGCGCCUCCA
rnacentral:tRNA from 17 species